rnacentral:lncRNA from 1 species
AUGAAUUUGUAAUACAUAUAUUUCUAAAUCUUAUCUAGCUAAUUCUUUAAAAAUGGCGGUUUGAAUUUAUUUCAUUUUAGUUAACCCUCUUACUGCGGGAAGGACAUAUGUGUCCUCCCCUGGCUUACUGCGGGAAGGACAUAUAUGUCCUUUGUGUAAAAAAAAUAUUUUUCCCUUUCGUAAUAUUUCUGAAAAAAAAACCACCUUUCUUUCAAUUAUUGUAUACAUUUUAUAUAUUUUAUUCAUCAUGUGGUUAUUUUUUUUGUUGUUGUUUUCUUUUUACCCAUCUUUUUCAUGAAAUGUCAUCAUUACGUCAUAUAACGUCAUAUAUUAAUUGACCUCAUUCGACGUCGUUAUUGAUUUGACGGCAUGAUAUAAUACCGCUAUGAAAUUAACUAUUUUUAUGCUGUUAUUGAUAAGAUAAAAAAAAGAAUCAUAGUAUGAAAAAGAAGGGAAAAAGAACCCAACAUCAACAAAUGAUCAUUAAGCAAUACAAACAAAACUAUUUGCUAAUUGGUUUUAGUUUUUGUACCCAACA